GAUGAACGCUGGCGGCGUGCUUAACACAUGCAAGUCGAACGGAAAGGCCACAGCUUGCUGUGGUACUCGAGUGGCGAACGGGUGAGUAACACGUGGGUGAUCUGCCCUGUACUUCGGGAUAAGCUUGGGAAGCUGGGUCUAAUACCGGAUAGGAAUCACAUGUGGGUGUGUGGUUGGAAAGCUUUUGCGGUAUGGGAUGAGCUCGCGGCCUAUCAGCUUGUUGGUGGGGUAAUGGCCUACCAAGGCGUCGACGGGUAGCCGGCCUGAGAGGGUGUACGGCCACAUUGGGACUGAGAUACGGCCCAGACUCCUACGGGAGGCAGCAGUGGGGAAUAUUGCACAAUGGGCGCAAGCCUGAUGCAGCGACGCCGCGUGGGGGAUGACGGCCUUCGGGUUGUAAACUCCUUUCGUCAGGGACGAAGCGAAAGUGACGGUACCUGGAUAAGAAGCACCGGCUAACUACG
rnacentral:rRNA from 1 species